GACGAACGCUGGCGGCGUGCUUAACACAUGCAAGUCGAACGAAGUUUGGGAGCUUGCUUCCUUACUUAGUGGCGGACGGGUGAGUAACGCGUGAGCAACCUGCCCUUAUCUGGGGAAUAACACAAAGAAAUUUGUGCUAAUACCGCAUAUUAUCUUUAGAAGGCAUCUUCUUUAGAUGAAAGAUUUAUCGGAUAAGGAUGGGCUCGCGUCCCAUUAGAUAGUUGGUGAGGUAACGGCCCACCAAGUCGAUGAUGGGUAGCCGACCUGAGAGGGUGAUCGGCCACAUUGGAACUGAGAAACGGUCCAGACUCCUACGGGAGGCAGCAGUGGGGAAUAUUGGGCAAUGGAGGCAACUCUGACCCAGCAACGCCGCGUGAAGGAUGAAGGUCUUCGGAUCGUAAACUUUUGUCUUAUGGGAAGAACAAGAACGGUACCAUAGGAGGAAGCCACGGCUAACUACGUGCCAGCAGCCGCCGUAACAC
rnacentral:rRNA from 1 species